rnacentral:tRNA from 1 species
CAAAGUGUAGCUUAUAUAAAGCACCUGGCCUACACCCAGAAGAUUCCAUACGAAAUGGCCACUUUGA